AUUUUUAGGAUUUUAUGGUUUUUAAGAGGUAUUUUUCUGUUUUUAGGGUUUUUAAGGAGUAUUUUUGGGUUUUUAAGGCUUUUAAGGGAUAUUUUUUUGGGUAUUUUUGGGUGUUUAGGGUUUUUAAGGGAUAUUGUUUUGUUUUUGGGGUUUUUAAGGGCAUUUUUGGGUUUUUAUGGUUUUUAAGGGAUAUUUUUGGGUUUUUAGGAUUUUUNAGGGGAAAUUUUGGAUUUUUAGGGUUUUUUUGGGUAUUUUUGGGUUUUUAGCCUUUUUUAGGGGUAUUUUCAGAUUUUUAGGGUUUUUAAGGGGUAUUUUGGAGUUUUUAUGGUUUUUAAGGGGUAUUUUAGGGUUUUUAGGGGUUUUAAAAGGUAUUUUUGGGUUUUUAGGGUUUUUUAGGGGUAGUUUUGGGGUUUUAAGGUUUUUAAGCGAUAUUUUUCUGUUUUUGGGUUUUUAAGGGGCAUUUUUAGGUUUUUAUAGUUGCUUAGUGGUAUUUUUGGGAUUUUAGGGUUUUUAUGUGGUUUUUUUGAGUUUUUAGAGUAUUUAAGGGGUAUUUUCGGGUUUUUAUGAUUUUAAGGGGUAUUUUUGGGUUUUUAUGAUUUUUAAGGUGUAUUUUUGGGGUUUUAGGAUUUUUAAGGUGAAUUUUGGAGUUUUAGGGUGUUUUUUUAACUUUGAGUUUUUAGGGUUUGUUAAGGGUAUUUUCGGAUUUUUAGGGUUUUUAAGGGGUAUUUUCGGGUUUUUAGGGUUUUUAGGGGAUUUUUGGGUUUUUAAAGGAUAUUUUUCUGUUUUUAGGGUUUUAAGGGAUAUUUUUGGGUAUUUUUGGGUUUUUUUAACAAAAAAAUAUCCCUUAAAAACCCUAAA
rnacentral:lncRNA from 1 species